UAUUUCUAAUGUUGAAGGAGUGGUCCUGUGUAUGGUUACCCCUAUGUAGACUGUAUCGUUGUACAGGCUGGCUGGAAUAAUGGCUGUAUAUUCUAGUUACUCUUUUAUUUAUUUAUUUAUUUGUUUGUUUGUUUGUUUAAAGAUUUUUAAAUUUACUUAUUUAACAGACAGAGAUUACAAGUAAGCAGAGAGGCAGGCAGAGAGAGGAGGAAGCUGGCUCCCUGCUGAGCAGAGAGCCCAAUGCAGGACUCUAUCCCAGGAUGCUGGCAUCAUGACCUGAGCCAAAGGCAGAGGCUUUAACCUACUGAGCCACCCAGGUGCCCCUAGUUACUCUUUUAACUAUGGCUUUUUACAGAGAGAAUUAAAAACACACACACACACACAAUAUAAUAAAAGAAAAAGCAAAUAAUAAAAGAAGAAAGAAGAAAGACAAAAGAAGAGAAAAAAGGAGAAGAAAAAAAGAAAAGAAAAAAAAAGAACAGGAGAAAAAAAGAACAAAACGACAAUAAAAAAUAGACAUAAAACAAGAGAAGACAAAUUUUAAAAAGUAAAAAUAAAAUAAAACAAAACAGUAAGAAUUAAAAGAAAAAACAAAAAACCACAAAAUCACAGCUUGUUUUCUGUGCCCCACUACCAUAGGGUGGCUGGUAUGGGCUUAGGGACCCUGAGCUUGCUGAGGUUGCAGGCCUUUUGUGACCAUUUGACCUGUUUGCCAUGGUGUCUGAGUCCUGCUCCAGUCUAGGCUUCCAAGGUUGGAUGGGAACAUAAACUGUCAUUCUCUAGUCCCUCUAACCUGGAGAGCCUUCCCAUAGCUCCUCUGUCAACUGGCAGAGUACUAGUGUUUUUUCUUUUAUAUGCUAGUUGCUCUUUUAAACUGUGGCUUUUCUUCGGUGCCCAAAGACAGAGAGAUAAGUGCCUGUUCCCUCAAUACCUUCCUUCACCCCUGCCAUUCACAAUGUUGGGGGUGGGGCUUCCCUUUGUUACUAUGUCUCUGUCUCUCUUGCUGUUCUCUUGCCAUUUGCUCUGUCUUUGGUUGUUCAGUAGCUGUUCAGUCAGCCCUCAGUUCUUCAGGAGCAAUUAUUCCAUUAAUAAGUGUGAUUUGGUUUAUUCCAUGGAGGAGAUAGAGCCAGCAUGAAUGUAAGAUAAAGAGGAGGAAUCAAAGAUGACUGCAGGGGUUUUGCCUGAGCAGCUGCAAGGAAGAAGUUACCAACUGGCAUCAGUAAGUCUGGGCAGGUCAGAACCCAUUGUUAAGACUCCAGUGGUUCGAAGUCAUGUCAAAACAAGAGUUACCAGUUGGAAGAACGAGAAUGUUUGCUCCAAGGUCUUUCAGUAGACACACGGUGGCCGUGAAGACUGUAUGUAUUAUUGGAGGACUUUCUUUCCUGAGGACUAAAAAACAAGCUAAAUGAAAGUAAAAAUAAGGUUAGGACUUGAAACCCAUUGGUUUCAACUCCAGUCCGUGGCCCUGUGAAACCCUCUAACCUACCUGAUGGCACUGUCACAAGGGGGACAGCUAAACAUCUGCAGAUCAUGGCAAACCUUGUCUUGAAACCCAACUCAGAGCUUGCUCUUCUCAAGAAAAUGGAGAAUCCUCCUCAGCAUUAACUUGGGGUUUCUCUGAAGUCCACCAAUAUUGAAACAAUUGGAUUUUCUGCCAAGAGACAUUAAGGCUGAUUUGACAAGAAUGACGAGGCACUUUAAGAGUUGAUUGACUGUUAGUACAAGGCUUUUAGAGCUUUCUAAAAUUGCAUCAACUGUAAGUGAAAGAAAUGGAAGUAUCUACUCAGAGCUUCAAAGGAAAGCCUGUGACAUGAGGAACGAAUGGUUGCAUGGUCAAAUAUGAAUACAUUUAUCCAGCAUUUCUCGGAUCCCUAUAAUAUACAAAUUCAUUUGGUUUGUCCACAGUUUUCUAUAGUCCUCAUACUCAGCGACCCAUUAAGAUCUAAGCUAAUCAAUGUAAAAAAAUCAUUUUGUGUUUAUUGAAGGCUUUUCAGAAGAUCCAUUCAGCUAAGACUCUUACUGAAUGUGUUUUUGUAUGUGUUUUCAACUCUAUCUUGGAGCUUCCUAUCUAAGGCCAACUUACCCUCCUGUCACCAUAUUGAUAGAGUGAGGCAACAACAGAAACCAACUGAAAGCAAAAUCUUUGAAGCUGGCAGCAUCUAUGCUGAAAUCUUCAAGAUACUUUUGGUGAUGAUAUCAAGUAACAUCAACCUACUCAGGCAGUAUGUAUGAAGUUGUAACCCCAGUGAGAUCAACCUGUGUGUGUCUCUUGCCUUUCACCACCUUAUUUUAGAUAGCUAUUUGUUACAAGUGUCCUGACACUUUUUAAUAUUUUAUAACUAAAGAUAGACAAAAUGUGCCUGGCAAGAACAAUAACUAAAGACUGAGUCAACAGCCCAGGACCACUCAUUAUGCCAGGAAAUAUGUGCUUACGCUGUGACAAUGGCUGUCGUCUUGGAUUGGCCCCAUUAACCACCUCUGGACAAUCAAGGCAAUGAUGGAAGCCAUUCUCUUCCUCUAACAAGAUAUUGCCAAGAAAGUACACUGCUGCACAACCAGCUGUUUGAGGAACUGAAGAGGAUGAAAAGAGGGUGAAAACAGAUGGGAUAUAUUUUGCAUUUCUACUUAGAUAUGAAUAUGUACAUAUGAUAUAUUAGGGCAUCUCUCCCACACAUGUCCCUCUCUUCUUGGUACAUUAUGUUAACCAUUUAUCACUUUCGUAUGUCAACUUUGUCCAAAAAUUAUAUAUGCUCUUUGUUUCUUAGAUUUACUCCUUUCUUUACACCACUUUUUACUGAACUAUUUGGUUAGAACUUGUGAAAACUUCUUAUAGCUUAUGCUGCAUGGAAGGUACUUUGUGUAGAGGGAACAUUUGUUUGAAACAAAGCUUAAAGUGUAUUCUUUGCUAAGAAUCAUACUAGGCUUCAAUAUAGGGAGAAAUACAUAGUUGAAAGUGUUUAGAUUGUCCUGGUGCCGUAUUUUUAAAAUCUCACAUGUAAGAAACAUAUAUACUUUUUUUGUUGAAUUGGAAAAUAUAGAAAGAAGAAAAAUAAAUCAAUAAAUACAUAAAUAAUAAAUAAGAAAAUUAGCACUGUACAUAGUCUCAUCACCUGGAGAUUAUCUGUCUAUAUUCUUCCUCUAUCCUUCUAUCUCACACAGAAGUAUAUAUUUAUAUACGUAUGUAUAUAUGCAUGUGUAUGUAUGUACAUAUUUGGGAUUAUAUGGUAAACACUAGUUGCUACUUUUUCUGUAUCAUUACAACUAUUUUUUCUUGUUCUUGAUUAUUUAAAAAUAUGUUCCAAUUGUAUGGGUUUACACUAAUUUACUUAACUAUUCUUUGUUUUCUUGUUAUUAAACUUUGUUUCCAAUUUUAUUUGGGUAUUGUAGUAUGACAAUAAAAACAUAUAUAAUACAAAACAAAUUAAUAAUACAGUUGAUUUUGUAACUUUAUUCUUCCUAGUUUAUUGUUCCUAGAUGUCAA